AUUGAACGCUAGCGGCAGGCCUAACCCAUGCAAGUCGAGCGGAGCGGCGGACGGGUGAGUAAUGCCUAGGAAUCUGCAUGGUAGUGGGGGAUCACGUCCGGAAACGGGCGCUAAUACCGCAUAAUAUCAGAUGAGACUAGGUCGGAUUAGCUAGUUGGUGGGGUAAAGGCCUAACAAGGCGACGAUCCGUAACUGGUCUGGGAGGAUGAUCAGUCACACGGAAACUUAGACACGGUCCAUACUCCUACGGUAGGCAACAGUGGGGAAUAUUGGACAAUGGUCGAAAGCUUGAUCCAGCCAUGCCGCGUGUGUGAAGAAGGUCUUCGGAUUGUAAAGCACUUUAAGUUGGGAGGCGUUACCAACAGAAUAAGCACCGGCUAACUUCGUGCCAGCAGCCGCGGUAAUUC
rnacentral:rRNA from 1 species